rnacentral:rRNA from 1 species
GCUUUUCUGGUGGCGACCGGCGCACGGGUGCGGAACGCGUAUGGAACCUGCCCCUGUCAGGGGAAUAGCCCAGGGAAACUUGGAUUAAUGCCCCAUGGUACCGCGAUAUCGCAUGAUAUUGCGGUUAAAGAUUUAUCGGACAGGGAUGGCCAUGCGUACCAUUAGUUAGUUGGUGGGGUAACGGCCCACCAAGGCAGCGAUGGUUAGGGGCCCUGAGAGGGGGAUCCCCCACACUGGUACUGAGACACGGACCAGACUCCUACGGGAGGCAGCAGUGAGGAAUAUUGGACAAUGGGCGGGAGCCUGAUCCAGCCAUGCCGCGUGCAGGAUGACGGCCCUAUGGGUUGUAAACUGCUUUUAUACGGGAAGAAAUGCGCCCACGUGUGGGCGUCUGACGGUACCGUAAGAAUAAGGACCGGCUAACUCCGUGCCAGCAGCCGCGGUAAUACGGAGGGUCCGAGCGUUAUCCGGAAUCAUUGGGUUUAAAGGGUCCGUAGGCGGGCCUGUAAGUCAGGGGUGAAAGUUUGUGGCUCAACCAUAAAAUUGCCUUUGAUACUGCAGGUCUUGAGUCAUGGUGGGGUCGCCGGAACAUGUGGUGUAG